UGUUUUUUUUGUUGUUGCGAAAAUGAUCCGAAUAUAUUAUUAAAGUUAAGGGGAAGUAUAGCUGGCUGUCAACACACACCCUUCUCCCCCCGUCCCUCGGUCCGUCUCUAAGGCGACUCAGGGGAACCCUAACUUCCCCCGCCGCCGGCCCCCUCCAACCUCCCUUCCCCCUCACCGCCGCCGAGGGCCAGUGUCGGGCAAAGCCCGGGCAGUGCUGGCUGCGACUGGGCCUCUCCCUGGCGUGUCCCUUUCUCUCCCUCGGCGGCGGCUUGGCGGCGUGGUGCGGCGGAGCUCCGACACUAGCUCGGUCCUCUGGCGAGGGUGGAGGGCAGGGCACCGUCCAGUGGUGCUACCUCCGCGGCGGCUGCGGCCUGGGCCCUUGACCCCGAUCCCGAUCUGGAUCUGGUGGUGCUCGUGUCUGGACCAUGGCUGCUUGUGAGGCGUGGUGUUCGUCGGGUCUUAGAGCCGGGAAGACAAACUCGAAGAAGUAGCGCCGCCAUCCGCCCGAGCACCGCACCUCCGAGGAUAGAAAGCCCCAACCUAAACUACUAACCGGAGCGGAGACACCGGGAUUCUCCUCCCUACCACCGGCUGCCGAAAACGGCAAGCAGAGGGAAGGCGAAUCCACGGGCUCGCCGUCUGAAGUUUGGAUAGAAGAAUUUGUCCUAGCCACCUAGGGUUAGGGAAGGAAAACGAGAAGAAGUCGAUUUGCUCUGGGAGGGAGCCUACGAUGCUAGCUAUGGAUGUGCACCCCCUUUGGUUUCUUCUGGGCCUCUUGCUGUUUUUUGUAUGUGAUUUUUUGGAGAGGCUACAUCAGUCGACUAAAUUCCUCAGUUAGGGUCAGUCGAUUUGUGGACCGUUGGAUGAAGAUCCUGUGGCGCUUGGACCUUCUUCUUCCUCCCCUCCUAGACCGCCCAAUGUGCCGCCGGCCUAACCGCCGACCACUGCCUCUCGCGACCGCCUCACCACCCCGCCUUCCUCGGAACCGCCCCCACCGCGGGUCUAUCCGCCGCCCCCGGCCAUCCCUCUAGCCCCGUCCGCGAUUGGAAUUUUUCUCCGACGAAGUGCGCCACCACCCCCACCACCGCCGUCCACCCUCNNNNNNNNNNNNNNNNNNNNNNNNNNNNNNNNNNNNNNNNNNNNNNNNNNNNNNNNNNNNNNNNNNNNNNNNNNNNNNNNNNNNNNNNNNNNNNNNNNNNNNNNNNNNNNNNNNNNNNNNNNNNNNNNNNNNNNNNNNNNNNNNNNNNNNNNNNNNNNNNNNNNNNNNNNNNNNNNNNNNNNNNNNNNNNNNNNNNNNNNNNNNNNNNNNNNNNNNNNNNNNNNNNNNNNNNNNNNNNNNNNNNNNNNNNNNNNNNNNNNNNNNNNNGUGAGCUCCUUCUCUCCGGUGAGGUCCUCCCUUCUUCCUUCUCCUUCAUUCAAAAAUCGAUUGACCCUGAAGUCGAAAGUCAGUCGAUUGAUAUGUAGCUAAAUUGGCUUUUUUACUUUUGAUUUUUAGCAACUGAAGUGUGUCGUGAUAUGAGCACUGUGAUUUUUAGGCAUCAAAUCGGACUCCCUAGGAUGCUCCUGGAAUGUGUCUGGGUACUGCUGGAUUAAGUACAGUAUGAUGUGUGUUUGAAUGUCACGAAGAGAUACCCGCAAAAAAAAAAAAAUGUCACGAAGAGAUGCAUGCCAUGCCGUGCUAGGGGGGAGUGGGGCGGUAAAUAAAAUAUGAAUGAACAGGUCAAAACAGCGGGCAUUGGUAGAUAAGAUGUGCCAGCUCAAGUUUCUGGUCACAUGUGGACGGUGCAUAUUUUCCAUCUAGUGCCAACGUUGACCUCAGCUCAGAUCCACAGGUUUUCUAUCACCCACACUUUUCCAACUUCAGACGCCAUACUAUACGCUGGUUGAUUUCCGCGCCUCUGAAUCGAGGCAAACAGUUUUCUAAUCUUUCUCUGGAUCAAGGCAAACAGUUUUCUAAUCUUUCUCUGGAUCAAGGCUAACAGUUUUUUAAUCUUUCGUCUUCAUGUUUGUUUUCUGUAACCCGGCCGGUCUGCUGCUGAAGCUGGGCCAAAAGACAAAGACAGGCCGGUGCCUGCAACUAAAACAGGGGUGAUCUGGGCUGGGCGCUUGUGUUGCUUAUAUGGGCUGGAGAAUAGGAGCCCAAAUGGUGGAUUAAACCCUAUUGUUUUGAUCACACGGUAUCAUUUCUGACAGUACCCAACAACACAAAAACAUUCAAUUCCAAGUUGUCGUAAAGUCGCAUCUAUAGAAUGUGGGGAACAAAAGGAGUGGAACAUACUGCUGACCAGAAUUUUAUCCCCAUUUAAUCUUUCAGGCCGCAGCCUAUACUUUCCCUACAUUUUCCUGUUACAAGCUGCAAUGGCUUCAAAAGAAGCAGAGGAGAAGCUACAAACUGCAGCAAACUCCUUACAUCUCAAGGUUACUAGUGCUCAAUAGUAUGUGAAGUUAACCCACUUCUUUGGUGGGAGAAAUGCAUGUUCGACGAGUGAGGGUGCCUCGAGUCGACCACCGCUGCAAAAUAAAGCCUGCAUACCCAUUCAAGAUAAAGGAUCGAUAUUAGAGCAGUAUCUUCGGAAUAAUGCAUUUUUUAGUGCUAUACUUGUGAAAAUAGCAAAUGUUUGCUUACAGUGGUUACCGUCUUACUGAUCCAUGCCGUCAAGCUUCUGUCUAUACUUGGCCAAACUCUGCAGUCAAAAUUUGAUUUCUUCAGAUUCAAAUUAUGGAACAUUUAAAAAGCUAGCAUGUUCAUCUAUACAAAUUAAAUAACAAAUACUGGUGAAUUUCAAGUAUUGAUCUGCACACAUAUAAGAAAAAUGAUGAAUCCCACUUCACCUCAAAAACUACGCUUGCUGUUUUAUAGUUUUGCUUGGAGUAAAAGAAAAGAUGCCGUUAGUUGCUUUAGCUUCUGAUUAUAGUUGUGCAUAUAGUAGUAAGCUUUAAAUGUCAGAUGAUGGUCAAGAUAUGUUACUGAACAUGAAAUCAGCAUUUUGUUGCACCCAAUUCAUUGCAGUUAGAAAAUAGAGAAGACUCUUACCUUUGUAUAAGCAUAGACGCCUGCCUCAGAAGGUCCUGCGGGACUGCCCCGCCUGAUAAAUUUCCCUUCCUUAAAUAUAUACAGCAUAGGAAUGCCGGUCGACAACUCAAGGCUUAUUACCUAAGGAAGGCGUCUUAAUGCAUUAGUAUCUACAGUAUCUCACUAAAACAUGGCUGAUUGGAAAGCGUAAAUAAACUAGAUACAAAGUAAUAUCACCUCUUGAGAAGUCAACUUGUCCAGAUGCAUUAUAAUUGAACGGAGUGAAUUCCCAUGGGCAGCAAUCAUAACAUGCUUUCCAGACACAAGCUGAGGUAUAAUCUGCAGGUCAAAAUAUAUGAUGGUUGCAAUCCUCUAAAAUAUGUUACAAACUGGGAACGGCAAAUCAAAGCUGAAUGCAGACUGCUGAUUUUAUAUCACGUUAGGUGAUAACAGAUGACAGAAAAGCAGAAACUGAUAUGUAUUCAAAGCCAAGAGACAAGCUAAACCAUCUCCAACCAAAGAUCCAACUAAAUUAACAGCACUGAAACAUAUCCUUACUUGCUCUUUGAAAUAAGAAACUGCUCUCUCUGCACACAUCUCUAGGCUCUCUCCAUUUGGGGGAGGAAUGUCAUAACUACGACGCCAUUCAUGAACUUGCUCUUUGCCAAACAGAUCAGCCGUUUCUUGCUUGUUAAGACCUUGCAGUUCACCAUACCUUUGAGACACAGCAUUAGUUUAUAUCUUAUAUGCAGAAUUAGAAAUCUAAUUAUGAAACAACCAUUAUAAGAUAUUAGCGAACCCUUACAUUCGUUCAUUCAACUGCCAAGCUGUUAUUACAGGAAUGGACUGCUUCUUUGUCUCCUCGCUGUAUACCUGACUCCACUGGUGUGCCCGUUCGCUCUCCUUGUGCACAAUAAUUGGAACCUGGUAUUAUUAUCACAGACAUGAAGACCUCUAAAUAUAAUACUAAUUGAUUCAAAAUAUCCAGAUACAGAAUGCUUCCACUACAAAUCAGAUAGAGAAAAAAAGAAGGUAGAGAACCUUCUUACGACGAUGCUGCAUCAUGGCAAGCAUGGCGGUCAUCUGAGCACGGAUUAGUGAUGAGGUGUAUAUAACAUCAACUGGGAUAUUGCAUAUCCUUUUACCCGCCUCGAUCGCCUCAUUGACACCCUUGGGGGUCAGGGGCACAUCGACGCAGCCAGUAAACAGAUUUUUCUCGUUCCACAAUGAUUCCCCGUGCCGAAUCAAUAUCAGUGCAGCCUCACCUAAAAGCACAUGAAGAAUUGAUAUUAUAGCAGGCAAAACAGAGCGUACCGCUGCAUAGCCAGAACUUAAGAAGAUUACUUGAUUUUUUGGGAUUGCUGCCGCUUUCGGGGCUGGACGGUAGCUUAGCCGGCUCAAUCACCGAAGAUUGCGAAUUCGACGCGCAGACCAAGCCCAGUUUCCGGCUGCCGGGGCAGCAGCUCGUUGCUGAAACAAAGCGCACACUGCCGGCCCUCCUGUCGGGGCCGAAGCUGGCGGAAGCGCACCGAGGUUUGACGGAGAUGAGCGCCUGCUGAGACGUGCACGCGGCCAUUCUGCUCCGCACCAGGACAACAGAACACCAAGGUUAGUAAGCCCUCACAUGGUCGAUUGAGCAAUCAGUACACGCAUCGAAUCAAAAUAAGCAAGCAAAAGAGAUCAAGGAAGAGCAACAGGGAGCGAAAUCGCGCUCCAUUGCGUUCCGAGCUACGAGCCGCGCCGCGAAUCGCAUCCACGCGGAAGGGGGGAAGGUAGCGGGGGGAGGGGCGACACGGCACGUACAUGGGCGGGGCGGGGCGGGGCGGGAGAAGAGCGCCUCGGCCUCGGGGAGCUCGAGCCGGGAGCGGAGGGCCGCGUUUUAUAGGCGCGGACGUCCCGACGGGUCGGGGAAACCGAGCGCGGCUUCCUCGGCGAGAUCUGCGGCGGCGGCGGGUCGCGGUCGCGGAGAUCGCCGGGGGGCUGGCGGCGACGAAACCAAGGAACGGACAAGACAACGGGAUGGAAAGACUAUUUUUGUUCGGGCCGUUCUCUUUUCGGGGCCGUUCUUGUGCAGGUGUGGUUGCGGCGCGGUUGGUUCGGCUGUGCGUGGGUCGGAGGCAGGUUUUAUAAACGGCGACCGGGCUUGGUUGGUCCAAGCAGACGACCGUGACAGGGGUUGGUACCGGUCUUAGCAAUUUUAGCCGCUUGUGAGCACACGCAGAUGUGCGUAAAUUCAUGCGAUUGCUUUUAUAAACUUUUUUUGGGGAGGUGAUUGCUCUUAUAAACUUGCUAACAUAACGUAGCUUACAGCAUCUACAGCCGUCCCACAAACGCUCGCGGAUGCACCUGCAGGCACCGACCGGACACCCCCUUAAAUAAUGUAAUCCACAUCCGGACACCUCUAUUAUCAUAUCUCAAAUCCAACAAACUCUAAAAAUUCAAAAAAAAAUCCAACAAACUCAUAGAAACUCGUACAACUACGUCGAUGCACAUACAUCGUUCGGCUGCUCCAUCACUACUAACUAAACAUGCCAUCAGACUACCCAAAUUUGGCAUGUCUCGUUAUGGGGGAGUUCAUCCACGGCUGCUCAUGCCCUUCCCAGCGUCCUUGUCGUCCUUCUCGCGGAAGUACCGGUCGAAGACGUAGUACGGAUCAGGUCGGAUCUGCUCGUCGCCGGAGUUGUCCUCGCCGUCACUGUCCGCCUUCUCCUCCUUCGGUGGCAGUCCGGCCAUCGCACCGACAGCCCCAUUCUGCUCUCGGGCGAGGGCACACGUGUUAAUCCGUUGUCGUUUCUUCGCAAUGUAGACGCGGAUGGCUUCCUCUUAUGCGGCCGCCCGCGCCGUCGCCAUUUCCGCCGCGAUACGGACCUUGGCGGCCCUUAUCCUUUCUUCCCACGGCGGCCCGCCCGGUCCCGAUGGGACUCAUAAUCUGCCCGACCGGUGAGAUUCCGGCUGCUAGGACCGCGAGGAUCCAGCCCCAGAGGACCCAAGCGUCCGGUGAGCCGAAGCUAUGGAGUCGCGGCGGACAGGUCCGUCCAUCGGUCGAUCGUUGUCCUCCCAGGAGCGGCGGAGUGCAAUGCGGACGACCAUUGUCUUCUCCAACCCGCACGGGAUGACACCCUGGUCGACGGAUCCGGACUGGUCGGAGUCCGAUUCGCUGCCUGCCAUGGCGCAGAAGGCUGAAAACCGCCGGAGGUGAGCUCGGGUGGCAGAGGGGAGUGAAGUGAAGUGGCUAGAGUUUGCUUCGGAGAGCGGAUGGGGACGAAUAUAUGUGGGGUCGGAUGGGCCAGUAUGGGCCGGGUCCGGCAUGGCGGGCGUGCCCAGACGCCCUCAUAUCUACCCCAUAUUUUGGCUGGAUAUAAAGGGCGCCGGUCAGUCCGGGCGUCUGAGGCUCAUUUGAGACGUCCGUCUGAAUAAAAAAUCAUGACCGAUUAGUGAUUGGGCGGCUCGUCCCAAGCAUUUGAGGAGGGUUUGGGACACCUGGCUGUAAAUGCUCUUAGAUGUUUAGCUUCCUUGCAAGGUUCAAAUUGUUGACUUGCCACAUAUGCUUAUAUUUUUUGUAUUAAUUUUAGGUUUCUGAGCUAUGUUUCUUUAUUGGGAGAUGAUGUUUUUAUAGGCUACGUGAUGUAAGUGAUAACUUUGGCAAUCUCAAGGUUUACCUGUUAAGUCUCGGAGGGUUGGAUGCUUGUGCAUUUAUAGAGGUGAGUGUAUAUGCAUGUGAGAUAUUGUAAUGUGUUUCUGAAGAGAAUACUUUAUAAAAAUAUAUUUAUACAUAUCAUACUAUUGUCAUUUGUUCUAUUAAUUUGUUGCUCGACUUUUAAAAAAUUUACGUAGUUUUACAAAAAGGAAUAUAGUGUUGUAAUAAUUUAUUCAACUUGUAAAGAAAACAUUGGUAUUAUUAUAGUUUAAUUAAAAUGUGAAAUAGUGUACCGAUCGCAACGUUGGACCAUCGAUCCUUCGUAUCGAAAUCUCCAGGAUUUUAAGUUUUAAUAUAUGAGCGACUUUGAUUAAACUAUGUUGAAAAAACAUAAUCAUCAAAAAUUAGCUCUUAAAGGCAAUUUUAAAUAGAAACGGGAUCCGUAGGCACACCGCCAAGACCCGGGGCGUGUUGGCUGGCCUUGCGCAUAGCCAGCAGAGUGACGCCCUGUCCUCGAGUAUUGUGCUGAUGCCCGCAUGAUAUUAACGUUUCUGAACGUCGCGGUUUCUUUCGUAAUGAAAAGGAACCGGACAUAAUAAAGAGAGAGAAAAAAGUAACGAUGACGAGCUCGGCAGCACGGGGCAUUUAUGCUUUGACAUCCUUGGUAAGCCAAUGCUAGGAGGGGGCGAUUUCUAAAAACGAUCAUGUAGCUGAAGAGCAGAAACUCCCUUGCAAAAUAGCCAUUUGCAAGCUCGACCGAACAGCCCUUGGCGCUUCCAAGAACCAAUCCGGCUCCCCAGUUCUGACCUCCAUCGGCAGUUAACCCAAGAGCCCAGUCACUCUAAACUUGAUGACACAACCCCUGCCAAUCAUUAAGAUACUACCACUGGCAUGAUGGUCAGCGGGCGACGUAGCCGUCGACCGAUCGACCGGGAGAAUGACAGGCUAAACAAAGUUCUGAAACCUUAUGGGAGACGGUUUCACUUCCUGGUCUCCUCGCCAUUGCCAACAACCAUAACUUGACCUUUUUUUUCCAUGUCAAUGAAAACAUUUUCUUGCUUAGCCGACGCAAAAAGGCAGUCGUCGGCCGUUUUCUUCUCGCCCGGCUCACCAACCCAGCUAGCGCUCGAUCGGGCUGGUGGGCACCGUCCAAACAAACCCGGCCGGGUCACGCUUGAUGCAUUGAUGGAUUGGUGCUGGAAUGCAACUCUCCGUCGCAGUUGAGGCAUGCUUAACCAGUUCUUUUGAUCUUUUGAUGUCUGGUCCGGAGGAUAUGCUCUUCUUGUCUUAAAAAGAAAAGGAUAUUCUCUUGCCGGUGCAUAUUCCCUCACCAACGGUUUCACCUAAAGAGCAUGUCCAACAGAACCCCCAAGCCACCUGUAUGUCCCGGCGGAUAGUUCGGAUAUGAAACUGCUCUAUGCACGAUUCAUGGACGACAUAUCAAUCCAGCGGCCAGCGAUUUAUUUAAUCAUACGUACGUCCGGCCAGAUUUGCCUAUCGUCUGUGCAUCGUCCGAAAUUUGUCGUGUGUAUAGCAGUUCUCGUUCGGAUAUUGUUGGGAUGAAAAAACACCACCCAAUCGAUCUCUCCAUUCAAUUCUACGUAUGUCUCUACUGUCGAACACAUCUCAAACUUAAUUUAUAUGUGGGGGUGGAUUUAAAGCCGUUUCGACCUACCCAAAUCCUCACAAAUGACCAAAGCAACUGCCCCUCUCAAUUGCGCCCGUCCUCCGUUUUAUGUGUUCGCGUCGUUGCCCUUGCCGCAUGCACGUUCACACCGUCAACAUCCUCCUUCGUCCUAGUCGUCGACAUACACUCUGACGUUCGCCCGCCGCCAUGGACAAUGGGUCAACGAAGUCCAUGGGGUCCCUAUGCUGGGAAUAAAGCAGAGACAAUCAUCUGAAAGGAGGGGCGUGCCCGAUUUGUCCGCAAGAAGGUCGAGAAGGAAGUUGCGGUGAAGGACGUCCUCGACAUGGGGUUCGUUGUGUUACUUUAGCGUCUCCCACCAUGCAUGCGUCUGCACCUGGGUUUGCGCCCUCGGCGACGCUAGCGCCCUAUGCUGCUCCGGCUUUGCAAUGGUCGGACAUCUCGAAUGCCUUCAUGUUGGAGACAUGCGCCUCCCCGGACACGGUGUACGAGUCACCACAACUUUAGCGGGCGCGGACCAAUUUUAAGAUGGUAAUUUCGUUGUGAUGCAUGUUUAUGACUCAUUGAUGAUGGAUAUGAUAGAUGACGGUCAAGAUCCUCCGAAUUAUGAGAUGAGUGAUACAAAUUUGCCUCUAUUUGAUGUUGGACAAUCACUGGGCAUUCAAGGAAAACUGAAGGGAAGGAGAAAUGCAUACACAACCCAUGAAGAUGCCUUGGGGUGUAAACAUUCAUUCCCCACAAGCAUGGAUCCUAUAUGUGAGACAAUUGAUCUUGAGAAAGAGAAAGUGAGGCUGGCAAGGGCCAUGCAGGAGCCGAGGAUCGUGUUAGCCAAAGCUAGGCUCGUGGAUAACAAAAUCAAGAAGUGAUUAAUCAACAAAUAGAAGAAUAUCAAGGAGCAAACCAACGGUGUUUCAUUCAUUUGUGUAGCGCCCCGCUUAUGUACAUAUUGUUAAAUUUUAUUUAUCGUGGAUUAUUUUGUCUUAUGUUAAAUUGUUAACGAAUCAUCUACGUGCAUGAAUUUGUAUGGAUUUGAGGUUUUCAGUGUGAGGGGCAUGGUUGCUCAGAUGGACAAAGGGGGACAGACGGCUUUUGUCCCGAACAUGUCUGGUUGAAGAUGCUCUAGAAAAGAACAGCCGUCAUAACUGCGCAUCUAGUUCUCAGGUACGGCCAAUUCUUGGAGGGAUAAAAGCCUACUAAACUCCAGGCUACCGCACGUGCGAUCAACGAGAAUCCCUGACGCUGUAAGCGAAAUAACAAGGGCCCCUGACAAAAAAAUGUGAUCAACAAGAGGGUGCGACCGCUUCUGCGUGUCAUAAACGUGAGCUGAGCUGUAUCACCCCCUCACCGAGUCAAGCAAAGAGCGCGCAGAAGUUCGUCUCCGCUUGAGCAAAGACGGCUUCAGGAGAAUCAGCAGCAUAUAUAACACGACUCGACUUUACAGAUGACAGAGUGACGCUUUACAUGCUCCUCAUAUCAUAAUCAAUAAUGCUAUUUGUACAGAUUGCUUGCCCCCUACAGCGCCUUGCGCAUCGGAAGCCGGAGAGCAACCGAUUCCGCCACCUGAAUGAAUGAAGAACUAAUAAAUCUUUUUCUUCGUCUGCCCGCCUGUAUAGUUCAGUAUCCCGUGCGACGUCGUGCUUUGAAAAAUGGCUGCCAGAGCAACGGAAACUGCAGGUGUAACCACUGACGAGCAUGGAGAAAAAAGUUUAUGAAGGGCUUGGAUGCUACCUUGUACUGGACCUAUGCUCAAGGCUUGUGUAUUCGCUGCCGUCAGACGCUCACUUGUAGAUGCCGACGAGGAGGAUGUCGUAUAGUAUCGUGGAGUUCCCAGGAAUGUUGCAGUCCCCUGUCAACGAUUGAUAUAAGCUUUUCUGAAUAUGCAUGCAUGGGCUGAGUUUCUCAGGGGAGAAAACAAGCCAGGUCAAAAUGGCACAGCCAAUACGCGCAGUUGGCAGGCGGGGAUCGAUGCAUCAUAUUCAUACAUUCCUCAACUGGAAACUAGGUUUUCGUUUUGGUACCUGAGAAGCAGCCUGCUGGUUCGGGUCCGUAUGCCAAAAUCGGAGGUAUCAUCAGCUUGCGCUUCCCACCUGUUAGCAGUUUCGAGACAUCACAGUUCAGGAAAAGGUGAGAGUUUGUUUGGAACGAAAUGCCGAUGCUUGUAAUGUACAGAUGGCUGCUGCAGUCUGACAGUACCGACAAGCAUGGGCGUCACGCCGCCGCCGCCGCCGAUCCCCUGUUGAAGCCCUCGGAGGAUCUGCAGAUGGAAGAAAAUAGAAGGGUUUAAGCCCAGACGAUCACACACUGCUAAGAGAAAACUCUGCCUGCCUGUCUGCAAUAAUGAACAUUGCAUUUGCAUCUUUCAGUAGUGAGCUAAUGCUGCCCACCUUGCCUGCGCCGAUGCGCAUCGUCAGUGGCCUCCCGCGCUUGUAGCUGCUGUCGAACACUGUCCCGUCGGGGAACCUCGCCGUGUAGUGUAUCUGACAACCACCGAGACAAAACGACGGGUUAAAACUUGAAAUCCAUCCAUCCAUCUAGGUGAAGCCAGCAGAGAACACGGCGAUCGGCGCAGCUUCAAGGGCACCCACAUUGAUGAGCUCGCCGCGCUUGGGCUGCACGCCGGUGCCGACUUCGACGUCGCAGUACCCGAGCCCGGACUUGGCGAAGUCCAUGUCGCAGAGCUUGUCCCCGACCGUCGCGAAGUACUCGAUGCGCGUCGCGCCGGCGUCCCCGGCCGGGCACAGCAGCGCCGCGGAGGCCAGGAACCCCGCGCCCAGCGCGAGCACGCCCCUCCUGCCGCCGCUCGCCGGCGCAGCCGAAGACGUCGACGUCGACGGUGACGGUGACGCCGAGGAGUUGCAGGGCGCGACGGGGGCGAGGGCUCGGCCGCCGCCGGGUCGCGCGGCCGGAGGCGACGGGAUUGGGCUGGAGGCCAUGAGCGGCAGCGGGGAGAUAGGAGGCGGCAUGAUGAUUAUCCCCAGACUGUGGCUGCAAGCCGCGCGCGGGCACGCCCGGGAUGCUCGUUUUACGCGAUGCUGGUUUGCCGCGCCGAGGCCCGGUGGGCUCUCGAAAAUUCUUUUUCUUUUACCAGAACAGAGUUCUUUAUAUUCAUUCAAAACAUUUUGCGAUACAGCGGAAAGUGCUCUUUGAUCCCGAGCCCACAUGCUCUUUGAUAAACAGUAAAAUUAAAAAAUAGUAAAAUAUUUUGACCUUUUUGUGAUAAACAUCGAUGAAUCCUUUAAACUCAUCCAAAAUUUUGUGAUGAAAUAACAUUCAUGGAAGUCUAGGCAACAAAAACCAAAUUCGAUGCUUCAAAAUGCUUUCAACAAUAAUUUUUUUUUGAAACAUUGAUUUUGCUUAUUGGCACAAACCUCCUUGGAUGUCAUUUCAUCACAAAGUUUUGCAUGCAGUUGAGACAUCCAUCGAUAUUUAUCACAAAAAAAUCAUAUACUUUGCCUUUUCUAUAAUUUUUAUUUCACUAUUCAUCAGAGAGUAUAUGAGCUCAGGUUCAAAAGCUCCGUGUCAUGAAACACAUCAAAUAUCGAGUGAACUACCCUCUAAGGACAUUUCCAACAUUGACCCGCAAAUUUGCUCCCGCAUCCACCCACAGACAAAGGGGCCAGUCCGCGGAUACGAAUGCGGGAGCCGACUAUCCAAUACUACUCAAAUACAGUUCAAACCACCUUUGAACUAAUCGGACGAAAUUCAUGCAAACUGAUCGAAAUUCAUCGCAGUUUGGAUAGAAAAUAGCACAAAUCAUCCAUACAUAGCAUGCAAAUAAGUAUAGUACAACAAUAGUUCAAAUUCAGCGAGAUUAAUCGGAUGUUGAACAAGUUUUUCAUGAACGGAUCAUGUCGUCCCACAUACUGCCCCUUCAGCAUCAUCCAACAGUGUAUGUACCUAACUGGUCGUCCCUCUUUCCCGUGGUACAUCAUUGCAGCGUGUACGGGCUGCACAGUGCGUAGAGCAACAUUGAGUGAAUGAAUGAUUCAAUGGUCAAGUUGAGCAAGAAGAAGUAAAACUUACGAUCUCCUCCGGUGCCCCGCGCAAUGGCCAUCUUGCCUCCAGCCGAGCAACCGUGUCACAAAACUUGGGGGUUGUUUGGUUUGUGACUAAGUUUGCCACACCUAAGGUUAGGCAUGUUUGACCAACUUAGGUGAGUGUUUGGUUCCAGCCACAUCUUAGGCAAAGCACACUUGGGCCCCACAUGGCAUACACAUAAAAAGUGUGAUAAGAUCCCCUUAGGCUUGCCAACUUGUGGCUCUUAUUUUGAUGAACUAAUCUUAGGCAAACUUGACAAAAAUGUGUGGCAAAAGUGUGGCAAUGCUAGGCCUAAAACCAAACAGCCCCUUGAUGACGGUGAUCUGGAUGACGUACCAUCGAUUCGAUAACGACCUCACAUUGCGUUGUUGAAUGAUAUCCAUAUCGUAGGGCGCAAUGUACUUUCACGCGUGAAACGAAUCAUGCACACACUGCCAGAAGAGCCUUCUUCUGUGCCUGCCUACUAAAUCUACGGAUGGGUAAAUCACAAGCUAAUGGAUGGGUAAAUCACAAGCUAAUAUACUGAAAUAUUUAUAUCCCGUUGCAAUAUACGGGCAUUGUCUAUAAGUUAAAAAAAAAACUGUUGUGGGCUCCUUCUAUCUCGGAUGCAAGCUCAUCUCACGGCUAAAACAAUUUCAACCCCAAACAGCAGCUUCAGCAAAACCGCUAUCACAGAUCAUACAUCUAAAACCACAGAUUUUUAGCGCGGAACAAAGAUUGUAACAAAGCAACGAGCUAAUAUUGUGUAGAGAAAAUAUGAAGAAAGUAGUGACAUCAACAAACACAUUGGGCUGUUACAUGCAUCUAGCCAGCCCAAAACAAAAACACAAAUGUUCAAAUGUGCUGAUCCGCCCCCACGGUAUGCAAGUCAUACAGUACAUGCUCACCAGAUGAUUCCCAUAGCAUACAGAGUAUUAUUACGAAGUCCAGCAUGGUACUAGGGCUAGCCAAAACCCGGCACGAGAAAAACCACAUGAAAUCCGCGGCACCACAAAUGUGAUGGGGCGUCUAAACAAGCUAGAAGUCAAAUGGGGAGGUUUACCCAUGUGUUAC
rnacentral:lncRNA from 1 species